ensembl:snRNA U6 U6 spliceosomal RNA
GUGCUCUCUGGCAGCAUACAUACUACAACUGGAACGAUACACAGAUGAUUAUCAUGGUCUCUGUUCAAAGAGACGCACAAAUUUGUGAAGUUCCAAAUUUCG